rnacentral:rRNA from 1 species
CACCAGACUCCUACGGGAGGCAGCAGUGGGGGAUAUUGCACAAUGGGGGGAACCCUGAUGCAGCGACGCCGCGUGGGUGAAGGAGCGUUUCGGCGCGUAAAGCCCUAUCGGCAGGGAAGAAGGAGGACGGUACCUGACUAAGAAGCCCCGGCUAACUACGUGCCAGCAGCCGCGGGAAUACGUAGGGGGCAAGCGUUAUCCGGAUUUACUGGGCGUAAAGGGAGCGCAGGCGGCGCGCCAAGUCUGAUGUGAAACCCCGGGGCUCAACCCCGGGCAUGCAUUGGAAACUGGCGGGCUGGAGUGCCGGAGAGGUAAGCGGAAUUCCUAGUGUAGCGGUGAAAUGCGUAGAUAUCAGGAGGAACACCGGCGGCGAAGGCGGCCUGCUGGACCGUGACUGACGUUGAGGCUCGAGAGCGUGGGGAGCAAACAGGAUUAGAUACCCGCGUA